ensembl:lncRNA
GCCUGAACUUAAGGAGGUUCUUGGGUGACUUAUGUACAUCAAAGUUCAAGAGGCAACACACUGAGAAAGGGACUUUCAGGUGGCUGUCUGCCUGGUGGGUGAGAGGAAAUGGCAGCUCAGAGAAUUCUAGAAAAAGGAGGGGAGGGUUUGCCUGUGGUUGUUUGCAGCGGCUCCUGGCGCAAGCCAGCCAGCAAGACAAACAUUGGGGUCGAUUGUUGGCAUCUGCUCCCAGGUGAACCAGCUCAGGCACAUUUUAAACCGUCAAGUCUGAAAUGAUGGAAAGGCACCGCUUCAUAAUCGUUUUGGCUCCUGCGGUAUCUGUUCAAUAUCGGUGCUCAGCGUAACCAAGAAUCAUUCCUGCUGUGCUGCCGAGGGAGAAGACCUUCACUUCUGGAUUUAUUUCAGCUGUUUAGGGAGAGACGUUCAAUGAUCUUGAUUUCCCCGAGGGAGAGGGAAGCUGGCCUUGGAAACAUUUUCUCUGCCUUCUCUUUCGAAAUCCGCCUCAGGGGACCACAUGGCCACCACUUCCCACAGAGAUGGAGGGAGAAAUCCUGCCAGUUUGGAAGGUGAGAGAUGCCGGCCUCUCUCCCAUCUCUUGCUGCUUCCAGAAACUACUGGGGACUCCUGGGGACAAGUGGAGGAGCCUGUGUGCUGGGUGAACAGUUGCUCCUGGCAAGGGGAGAUGCUUACACUCCGCUGGCCUCAGGACCCCAAAUGGCGGGUGAUUUUCUGAGUCCAGAUCCUUUCUUGGAUUCUGCAUCCCCAUCUCUUAGGGAGCAGAAGAGAAACAUCCAUUUCCAAAGUGAUAUUCUGUCAAAGCAGCUGCGACAGCACAGAUAACACGCUUCCUUGUUCUCAGUUGACUGUGUGGCUUUUUAAAAAUAAACAAGGAGGACCUCCUAGGGGGCAGAAAGAUUUGGAUUCAUUAAUACUGUAUCACUUUAUCUUCGACAUCAGCAUCGUUUUCAUUUUCUUCAGCAGCCUCAAGGCCACCUCAAAAGGCAGGUUUCUGACUGAUUUAAAGAAACCUCAGAGGCAGUAGAUGUGUUUCCCUCCAUCUGCCCCAACGUCCUUUCCAGCCCUCCCCUCUGCCCGCACCACACCCGUCAGGGUACCAAGCCUCCCCCCACCCCCAUCGCUUCCUAAGGAAGUGGGUUCUGCAGGUCGGUGGACCUUGACAUCCCAGAAAGGUGAGAAGUUGGGUGGUACCCACACAAAGCGGGUGCAGAGCCUGGGGAGAAGGCCUCCCGUGUCCGCCCUGCUCUGGGCCUCUCAGCUCCGCCCUGUGUUUAUUGCUCUGAUCAGUGUCUUCCCUUUCACGCCACUCAGUGAGAGAGACAGGGACUGUGUGAGAUGAACUUUCCUGCCUGCUGGGCAUAGAUCCAACAGAAGCUGGUGUGGUCUGACUCCUUCCCAGGCAGCAAGCAGGUCACCCCAAGCCUCGUCAUUCCUCAAGAUGGAGAUGGGAAAAGCCUGGGAAGAUUCCAGAGGAAGAGCAGAGUUCUGGAAACUCAACCCCGGGGAGUCAUGGCCUGAGGGGGAUGGGUCCUCGGGACCAACCCAGACCCAUGAUCUCAAGGGAACCUUCAGUUCAUGGAAGGCAGCAGAUCCCUCUCCACCACCAUUCCCCCGGGCUGUGCCCCAGGCGUAGCUCCCUAUACUCCUCUCCCAGUUGUCACACUGUCCCGCCUCACUCCCACUGGGCAAUGCUCAAUGGCCCAGGGGAACUCCAUAGGCUGUGCCUGGCUGUUUUUGUCCAAAUCUCUGUGCUCUCCCCAAGAAUCUCCUACAGCAUUGCUGCCACUGCUCCCACCACCACCACGGUGAGCCCGCGCCCUUCCACCACUCACCUGCCCAUCUUCCCAGUAGCCCGCUUUCCUGCAAGAGGGGAUCCCUUCUUCCCGUUACAAUAGGGCCUCUGACUCCAGCAUCCUAGCGCACCUGUGUACUGACUGAGGACCCGGGAGCCUGGAAUUCAUAUGGAGUUAAUUGCUCUCGACAGCUGGACCGGCUUCUUGUUGAGGCCCCACAUCUCAUUUCUUGAAGCCAUAGACACAUGGCCCCAGCAAUGUCCCUGUGAGCAGUCUAUAUACGGCCAGGAGCAUAAGUACUUUGUGAAAUGCUGCAACUGUUGCAAAUAUAUUUUCUAAUGCUCGCAGAAGACAUUAACAUUUUCCACAGAAGAAAAAUGCCCAAAGUUUGCUUAUAAUUGUCUUCAUUCCUAUUAUCCUCACUCUUAAUGAUGCCAUUUCACUCUUUUGCAUUUUACUAUUUCAUUUAUUGAGAAACAAUUUUGUCAUUUGGGUAC